GAGACCCACGCCAACAGUUGCCAGCAUGUCCUCCGGGAUGGUGGGGACACUGUUGGGACCGCCUCUGCUAAAGAGGAGGAAGGAAUGGGCAACGGUAGGUCAGCAUGCCCCGAAUUAUCCGGGCUACACGCGGGCUACAAUGGUCAGGACAAUGGGUAUCGACACCGAGAGGUGAAGGCAAUCUCUUAAACCUGUCCUUAGUUCGGAUUGCGGGCUGCAACUCGCCCACAUGAAGCUGGAAUCCGUAGUAAUCGCGUCACAAAAUGGCGCGG
rnacentral:rRNA from 1 species